rnacentral:rRNA from 1 species
CAUGCAAGUUGAACGGUAACAGUAGUGAUUAUCACUAGCUGACGAGUGGCGCACGGGUGAGUAACGCGUAGGUAAACUACCAUAGGGACCUGGAGAGCGCUACGAAAGUAGGAUUAAUACGGGAUGUGCUUAUAUUUUCAUAAGAUUUUAUAAGUAAAUAGUUUUUCUGCUCUAUGAUGUGCCUGCGUUAGAUUAGUUUGUUGGUGGGGUAAUGGCCUACCAAGGCUGCGAUCUAUAGCCGGGCUGAGAGGCUGACCGGCCACAUUGGGACUGAGACACGGCCCAGACUCCUACGGGAGGCAGCAGCUACGAAUCUUCCGCAAUAGUCGAUAGACUGACGGAGCGACGCCGCGUGAGUGAUGAAGGCCUUUUAGGUUGUAAAACUCUUUUAUAUUGGAAGAAUAUAUAGUAUUAGACUAUAUUGACUGUACUUUAUGAAUAAGGUCCGGCCAACUACGUGCCAGCAGCCGCGGUAAUACGUAGGGACCGAGCGUUGUUCGGAAUUAUUGGGCGUAAAGGGUAUGUAGGCGGUCUAUUAAGUUAGAUGUGAAAAAUCUGGGCUCAACCGAGAUCUUGCGUCUAAUACUGAUAGGCUAGAGUCUCUGAGAGGAAGGCGGAAUUCCUGGUGUAGGGGUGAACUCUAUAGAUAUCAGGAAGAACACCGGUUGCGAAGGCGGCCUUCUGGCAGAGGACUGACGCUGAGGUACGAAAGUUAGGGUAGCAAACAGGAUUAGAGACCCUGGUAGUCCUAACCGUAAACGUUGUAUACUAAGUGGUCGAAGUAUGGUCCCUUGACUGCCGCAGCACCGCAUUAAGUAUACCGCCUGGGGAGUAUGCCGGCAACGGUGAAACUCAAAGGAAUUGACGGGGCCCCGCACAAGCCAAGUGGAAAGCAUGUUGCUUAAUUCGAUGAUACGCGAGUAACCUUACCAGGUUUCUUGACAUAUACCUGUCUGGUGUAGAAAUACAUCAUUGCUUCGGCACGGGUAUACAGGUGCUGCAUGGUUGUC